AUAGACUAUCACAGCCCUGAACGCGCCCGAUCUCGUCUGAUCUCGGAAGCUAAGCAGGGUCGGGCCUGGUUAGUACUUGGAUGGGAGACCACCUGGGAAUACCGGGUGCUGUAGGCUAUU
rnacentral:rRNA from 1 species